UUUGUGGAGAAAUUCAACAAAAUUAAUUAUAGCUGAUUAUAUUAUGCUCACCAGAUUAAGGGUGCAUCGGUUUUCCCCAGCCCACUGACCCAAAUAUUAAUCUAUUUUGGCAACAUCCUCAUAGAAACACCCAGGAUUAAUACUUCGUGUCCUUCAAUCCAACGAAGUUGACAGUGUUAACCAUCACACAGGCUAAAGCAAAACAUAUGAUCUGUAAGCACUCUACAGAUCAGUAAACUCUGAACAAAAGUGACUAAGAAAUUUUAAAACUAACACCCUUCUUUACAAAGUGGCAGUGUAGCAGUCAUUUCUUUUUAAGGAGAACUUUGGACACUAUAAGCAAGCAGAAGACCCAGCUUCUGGGAAAUACCCUCUGGGAUGCAACUGUACUCCUUUUUAGUGGAUUCCUUCCCAGCAGUAAGCAUUUAUGGACAUGGUACAACAUAAAUGCAGGGUGCUAGGGAACGCAAGGCAAAGCAAGAAUGACCGAAGCUGGGAAGAAAAGAUGUGUCCUCCAGAAAUACACACAAAUUCCCCUAAUGCAAGUUCUGGGAGAGUUACAUUUCCAAGCACUUACUUCAGCUGGUUUCUUGCUGGAUUCAACCAGUGGGAGGCACUGGUGUGAGAUUAGAUGAUGGAAGGAAAGAUGAAGACAGGACAAUUCUCCCUUUCUUUUGGACAGCAGCAAUCUUUCAAACUCCAAUUCUUGCUUGGUAUAUAGUCUGCACCUCACAGCAGCACCCUCCAUGUUCUGCAGGUCAGAAAUCUGGUUUGAGUAUCACUGGGUUAAAAAGAAGCUGUUGGCAGGACUACAUUCUUCCUGAAAGUACUAGAGGAGAAUCUGAUUCCUUCUCUUUUUCUGCAUCCAGCAGCUGCCAUAUUCUUUUAAUCAUGGUAUCUUACUCCAUUUUUAAAGCCAGCAACAGCAGGUCAAAUCCUAUUCACUUUACAUAACCCUGAGGUUUAUGUUAUUCUGGGGGGCCCAGCAGAAUCCAGAAUAAUCUCCCUGUUUUAAGAUCAGCUAAUUAGCAACCUUAAUUUCAUUUACAACCUUAAGUUCUCCUUGCCAUGUAAUAGGAUAUAUUCACAGGUCCCAGUGAUUAUGAUGUGGACCUCUUGGUGGGGGGGCAUUAUUCUAUCUAAUACAGGUACUUUUUAUUUUUUAUAAGAUGGCUAUUUCCUACUAGAUUAUGAGCUCUUUAUGCAUAUAUCUCAUAUCUCUGAUUUCUCUACACUGCAUUGCACAAAAUAAGUGAUCAGUAAAAAUGAAGCGCCUGCUUCCUUUUUUGAUGCUGGUCCACCAAGAGCUUAUCAUAGUAAAAGCCUCCAACAAAAUACACAAAAACCUUGGGGUAAGUCCCACUUCUUAUAUUUGUUCUACAAAUAUCAAUUGUAAAUAAAUGUAGAAUACAAACUGUUGAGUGUCUUGAGCCACUGCUGAAGUGUGCCCACAAAAUGGGAGCGAAAUGAAGAACCAUUAAGUGAUGUCAAGCUGCAGAUGACAAGGCAAUAUGGCAGCAGCUUCCAUGGUGGCGUGAGCCACCAUGAGCUCAGAGAUUGGAUGUUCCCAUUUCUCAGUGCCGGAGGAGUCACUAUACUUGAAAAACAGAGAACCAUCUGUAUUCACUCUUCCAGAUAAAUUCCAGUUUGUUAAUGCUUUUAGAAAUGAGUUUAUUUGGGACAUGAUGGAACAAGUGUAUAGUUGAGGAACCUAUAUUUACAUAUCUUUUGUAUGCAGUCUAAUGUAUAUAAAAGUUAUGUAACACCAAAGAAGCAGCAAGUAGGAUAUGAUAAAAUAUGUUCAUCUAAACCAUUCUGGAGAAGAAAGAGAAAAUAAGUAAAAGAGGUAAAAAAGAAACUGGAUGCCGGUUCACAAACCCAACAAGUGAGCCAAAAGUUUGCUGGGAAUUUCUAAGAAUCAUCAUAAAUUUUUUUCAAUUCAUAUUUUAGUUUCAGGGAGUACAUGUUCAGGUUUGUUACACGGGCAAAUUGCUUGUCACCGAGGUUUGCUGUAUGAAUGAACCCAUCACCUAGGCAGUGAGCAUGGUGCCUGAUAGGUAGCUUUUCAACAUUCACCCUCUUCCCACCUUCCCUUCAAACAGUCCUAAGUGUCUGUUUUUCCCAUCUUUA